rnacentral:rRNA from 1 species
CAAUAGCGUAUAUUAAAGUUGUUGCCGUUAAAAAGCUCGUAGUCGAACUUCGGCCUCUGCCGCCCGGUCCGCCUAUUUGGGUGUGUACUGGAGCGGUGGAGGCUUACCUCGUGGUGAGCGGCGAUGUCCUUUACUGGGCGUCGUCGGGAACCAUGACUUUUACUUUGAAAAAAUUAGAGUGUUCAAAGCAGGCUUACGCCCGAAUACAUUAGCAUGGAAUAAUAAAAUAGGACGUGCGGUCCUAUUUUGUUGGUUUCUAGGAUCGCCGUAAUGAUUAAUAGGGAUAGUUGGGGGCAUUCGUAUUCAAUUGCUAGAGGUGAAAUUCUUGGAUUUAUUGAAGACGAACUACUGCGAAAGCAUUUGCCAAGGAUGUUUUCAUUGAUCAAGAACGAAGGUUAGGGGAUCGAAAACGAUCAGAUACCGUUGUAGUCUUAACAGUAAACGAUGCCGACUAGGGAUCGGACGAGGAUUUUUAAUGACUCGUUCGGCACCUGAAGAGAAAUCUUUAAGUCUAGGUUCGGGGGGGAGUAUGGUCGCAAGGCUGAAACUUAAAGGAAUUGACGGAAGGGCACCACCAUGGUGUGGAGCCUGCGGCUUAAUUUGACUCAACACGGGGAAACUCACCAGGUCCAGACACGACAAGGAUUGACAGAUUGAUAGCUCUUUCUUGAUUUCGUGGUUGGUGGUGCAUGGCCGUUCUUAGUUGGUGGAGUGAUUUGUCUGGUUAAUUCCGAUAACGAACGAGACCUUAACCUGCUAAAUAGCCCGGCCGACUUUGGUUGGUCGCUGGCUUCUUAGAGGGACUAUCGGCGUUUAGCCGAUGGAAGUUUGAGGCAAUAACAGGUCUGUGAUGCCCUUAGAUGUUCUGGGCCGCACGCGCGCUACACUGACCGAACCAGCGAGUUUAUCACCUUGGCCGGAAGGCCUGGGUAAUCUUGUGAAACUCGGUCGUGAUGGGGAUAGAGCAUUGCAAUUAUUGCUCUUCAACGAGGAAUACCUAGUAAGCGUGAGUCAUCAGCUCGCGUUGAAUUCGUCCCUGCCCUUUGUACACACCGCCCGUCGCUACUACCGAUUGAAUGGCUUAGUGAGGGCUCCGGAUUGGCUUCUGGGAGCCGGCAACGGCACCUAGUCGCUGAGAAGUUGGACGAACUUGGUCAUUUAGAGGAAGUAAAAGUCGUAACAAGGUUUCCGUAGGUGAACCUGCGGAAGGAUCAUUA